rnacentral:rRNA from 1 species
CACGUAGGGGGCAAGCGUUGUCCGGAUUUACUGGGCGUAAAGGGCGCGUAGGCGGCGUGACAAGUCACUUGUGAAAUCUCCGGGCUUAACCCGGAGCGGUCAAGUGAUACUGUCGUGCUAGAGUGCGGAAGGGGCUACUGGAAUUCUCGGUGUAGCGGUGAAAUGCGUAGAUAUCGAGAGGAACACCUGCGGCGAAGGCGGGUAGCUGGGCCGACACUGACGCUGAUGCGCGAAAGCCAGGGGAGCGAACGGG